AUGAUUUAAAUAAGACCUUAUGCUUAUUUUAAAAGAAUUUACUUGAAAACUUUGAAGGUCUACUCCACUAAAUUGUUUGUGUUUACUUUGAGUUAAUUAUAUCCUAAAAGGUAACAUCAACUCAAAGUUUGAUUUGGAAAAAUUUGAGGAGUUAAAAAUUGUGGGAGGUGAAAAAGAAGUUGAAAAAAAUGAAGUUAUGAAAGAUGGUUGGAUGUAUUGAGAAAAGUUCAAGGAUUGGAAAACUCCCCUCAUCAUCUUAGUCUCAACCUUAAUUGUGGGAGUGCUAGGGUGAUUUAGUAACUCUUUCUCUUCUUCUUUUUUUUAUCUCAAUCUCUUCCUUUUGUCUCUUUUCUUUAUCAUUCCUUUCUUUUAUCUUUUUCUCUUCAUACUCUCUUCUUCUUUCCUCUUACUUUUUCUCUCUUCUUACUUUCUCCUCUUUCUCUCUUUCUUCUUUCUCUCUUUUCUCAUGAUCCUCUUUCUAUCUUUGUUCUUUCUUCCUUCUUUUGUCUUCCUCUCUUCUACUCUUUAUCUUCCUUAAAUCCUUUUGGACUUUUUCUUGUUUUUCAUUAAGAAUACUAAGCUCUUCUUCCAACUUAUCAAGAUACUCUUCUCUUUCAAUUCUUUC
rnacentral:lncRNA from 1 species